AGGCUUGCUCUCUGAUUCANCGGCGGACGGGUGAGUAAUGCCUAGGAAUCUGCCUAUUAGUGGGGGNCAACGUUUCGAAAGGAACGCUAAUACCGCAUACGUCCUACGGGAGAAAGCAGGGGACCUUCGGGCCUUGCGCUAAUAGAUGAGCCUAGGUCGGAUUAGCUAGUUGGUGAGGUAAAGGCUCACCAAGGCGACGAUCCGUAACUGGUCUGAGAGGAUGAUCAGUCACACUGGAACUGAGACACGGUCCAGACUCCUACGGGAGGCAGCAGUGGGGAAUAUUGGACAAUGGGCGAAAGCCUGAUCCAGCCAUGCCGCGUGUGUGAAGAAGGUCUUCGGAUUGUAAANCACUUUAAGUUGGGAGGAAGGGCAGUAAGUUAAUAGC
rnacentral:rRNA from 1 species